GUAGACAGGUGGGGGCGGGUACGUGAGCAAGGCGAUCGGACACUGGGACGGGGACUGUGGUUUAUCAUGGCUAAAAUCAACGCUGGCGGCGUGCCUAACACAUGCUAGUCGAACGGCGGAAGCCCCGCAAGGGGCAAGUAGAGUGGCAAACGGGUGAGUAACGCGUGGGUGACCUGCCUUCGAGCGGGGGAUAACGUUCCGAAAGGGACGCUAAUACCGCAUAACAUUCCGUCUUUGAACAGAUGGCAAUCAAAGCUGGGGAUCGCAAGACCCAGCACUCGAAGAGGGGCCCGCGUCCGAUUAGCUAGUUGGUGAGGUAACGGCUCACAAAGCAUCGAUCGGUAGCCGGCCUGAGAGGGGCGACGGCCACACUGGAACUGAAACACGGCCCAGACUCCUACGGGAGGGAUCAGUGGGGAAUUUGUCGAAAUGGGCGCAAGGCUGGACAACCCAACGCCGCGUGG
rnacentral:rRNA from 1 species